CCAUUGGCAGCUAGGAUGCUUGGAACCACGUACGACUACAGCAGGUGUACUGACCACAUACACACAGGAGAUAUCAGCGGAGAUUUUACACGGUGAAGGUUUAUACAGCCUUCACGUAGAGGUGUAAAGGAGUCCACGAGUUGUCUUUGACGCACCAAUCUGCUACGGAACGACCUUCUUCAAUGUCACGGAGACGAUAAACGGACGGGUGUUGGUGAAGCAGGACUCGGUGAGGCAGCACGAACACUACGUUGCGGCCUACAAGUGGGUGGACUUCAUCGCUAGGCUUCACGACCCGGCUGGCUUCCUGCGACAUG